AUACUUACCUGGCAGGAGAGAUACCAUGAUCGUGAAGGUGGUUUUCCCAGGGCAAGUUUUAGCCAUUGCACUUCUGAUGUGCUGACCUUUGCAAUUUCCCCAAAUGCGGCAAUCUUGACUGCAUAAUUUGUGGUAGUUGGGGACUGCGUUUGUGCUCUCCCCUG
rnacentral:snRNA from 1 species